GUCCCCGUAGCUCAGCUGGAUAGAGCAUAUUCCUCCUAAGAAUAGGGUCGCAGGUUCGAAUCCUGCCGGGGACG
rnacentral:tRNA from 1 species